rnacentral:rRNA from 1 species
GACGAACGCUGGCGGCGUGCUUAACACAUGCAAGUCGAACGGAAAGGCCCUGCUUUUGUGGGGUGCUCGAGUGGCGAACGGGUGAGUAACACGUGAGUAACCUGCCCUUGACUUUGGGAUAACUUCAGGAAACUGGGGCUAAUACCGGAUAGGAGCUCCUGCUGCAUGGUGGGGGUUGGAAAGUUUCGGCGGUUGGGGAUGGACUCGCGGCUUAUCAGCUUGUUGGUGGGGUAGUGGCUUACCAAGGCUUUGACGGGUAGCCGGCCUGAGAGGGUGACCGGCCACAUUGGGACUGAGAUACGGCCCAGACUCCUACGGGGGGCAGCGGUGGGGAAUUUUGCACAAUGGGCGGAAGCCUGAUGCAGCAACGCCGCGUGCGGGAUGACGGCCUUCGGGUUGUAAACCGCUUUCGCCUGUGACGAAGCGUGAGUGACGGUAAUGGGUAAAGAAGCACCGGCUAACUACGUG